GCCCAGUGAAUAAUUAAACGGCCGCGGUACCCUAACCGUGCAAAGGUAGCGUAAUCACUUGUCUAUUAAUUGUAGACCCGUAUGAAAGGCAUAAUGAGGGCCUAACUGUCUCUUUUAGUAAAUCAAUUAAACUGAUCUCCUAGUCCAAAAGCUAAGAUGUUAACAUAAGACCAGAAGACCCUGUGAAGCUUUAACUAAACUAUUAAACCCUAUAAUAGCUACUUUAGGUUGGGGCGACCUUGGAAAAAAAAAGAACUUCCAAUAUAAGNAUAUGUAUUAACAUACUACAUAGGCCAACAAGCCUACCACGACCCAGCCAGCUGACAAUAGAACCAAGUUACUCCAGGGAUAACAGCGCUAUCUUCUUCAAGAGCCCAUAUCAAAAAGAAGGUUUACGACCUCGAUGUUGGAUCAGGACAUCCUAAUGGUGCAGCCGCUAUUAAGGGUUCGUUUGUUCAACGAUUAACAGUCCUACGUGAU
rnacentral:rRNA from 1 species